AGAGAGUGCAAGCGUUAAUCGGAAUUACUGGGCGUAAAGCGCACGUAGGUGGGAUAUUUUAGUCGGGGUGUGAAAGCCCCGGGCUUAACCCGGGAACUGCAUUCGAUACUGAAUAUCUAGAGUAUAGUAGAGGGAAGUGGAAUUUCCGGUGUAGCGGUGAAAUGCGUAGAUAUCGGAAAGAACACCAGUGGCGAAGGCGGCUUCCUGGACUAAUACUGACACUGAGGUGCGAAAGCGUGGGGAGCAAACAGGAUUAGAGACCCUGGUAGUCCACGCCGUCAACGAUGAGAACUAGACGUUGGGAGGCUUGCCUCUUAGUGUCGAAGCUAACGCGUUAAGUUCUCCGCCUGGGGAGUACGGCCGCAAGGUUA
rnacentral:rRNA from 1 species